AGGGGGGAUAAGAUUCAAGCCUAGUUUGGAAUUUUGAAGGCCACUUUUGGAAUUUUCAUCUUUUUCUUUUGAAAUUUUGAAGAAAUUUGUAUCUUAUUAUUAAAUUUCCAACAAGCUAUUUCAUACAAGAAGAAGAGCUAUAAUGAGGGAGAUUCACAUAAAUUUGUGGGAAGGAGGUUGCUGGAAUUUUUAGGCGGCCAAAUUCAAGACUGGUUUGGUACUUUCUAUGCCAUUUAUUGGAUUUUUUUAUUUUGAAAAUAUAGAAGAAGCUAGAGUUCA
rnacentral:lncRNA from 1 species